GUGGGGGAUAUUGCGCAAUGGGGGGAACCCUGACGCAGCAACGCCGCGUGAAGGAAGACGGUUUUCGGAUUGUAAACUUCUUUAAGUGGGGAAGAUAGUGACGGUACCCACAGAAUAAGCCACGGCUAACUACGUGCCAGCAGCCGCGGUAAUACGUAGGUGGCGAGCGUUGUCCGGAUUUACUGGGUGUAAAGGGCGUGUAGGCGGGAUGGCAAGUCAGAUGUGAAAUACCGAGGCUUAACUUCGGGGCUGCAUUUGAAACUGUCGUUCUUGAGUGCCGGAGAGGAAAGCGGAAUUCCUAGUGUAGCGGUGAAAUGCGUAGAUAUUAGGAGGAACACCAGUGGCGAAGGCGGCUUUCUGGACGGUAACUGACGCUGAGGCGCGAAAGCGUGGGGAGCAAACAGGAUUAGAAACCCUAGUAGUCC
rnacentral:rRNA from 1 species